UACGGGGGGGGCAAGCGUUGUUCGGAAUUACUGGGAGUAAAGGGCUCGUAGGCGGCCAACUAAGUCGGAUGUGAAAUCCCCAGGCUCAACCUGGGAACUGCAUCCGAUACUGGAUGGCUUGAAUUCGGGAGAGGGAUGCAGAAUUCCAGGUGUAGCGGUGAAAUGCGUAGAUAUCUGGAGGAAUACCGGUGGCGAAGGCGGCAUCCUGGACCGACAUUGACGCUGAGGAGCGAAAGCCAGGGGAGCAAACGGG
rnacentral:rRNA from 1 species